CUAAGCCACAAAGGGAUCUCAUCAGUCAUUAUUGAGCUGCUUUCUACUGCACGCAGACCUAGGUCGUCGUUGUCUAUAAUGGCACUUGUGGAGUAAGUAACAAUGCUAAAUUACUCACUAGUUGCUGUUGAUUACCACCUGCAUGUGUAGCUUAGGUUUGUUAGUCAUGGCAUGUAGUGUGGUCUCAUGAGGCGUAAGUCUAAGCUCCUAAAGCAGCUGUCGGAGCUACCUAAAGCAGCUGCUAGCUAACUAGCUAGUCAUCCAUGCAUCAGCUUGAGUUACUUGCAAGACAGAGGAGGGAUAUCACAGAGGAGAAUGAGAUAUGAUGCAGCACCAGCAUGAACAACAACGACACUGGAAAAGAAAUACUGGAGAUGAUGACAUGAUGCAUCCAAGACAGAGAUGAGAUGCCAUUCAGCAAAAGUUGCCGCUGUUGUUCGACUGAUUCCACUCACUGAUCCUGAAUCCUUUUUUUUUUGACAGCACAGUGAUCCUGAAUCCUGACACAUCGUGUGUCCCGUUUCUGCCCGGAACAAGCGAAAACGUCGGUUCUUCUCCCUCUUGGGCCUUUGAGGCCAAUAGCCCACGACGGCUGCUGGGCUCGAAAUACCGUUCGGAAAUGGUCCGUAUUGGGCCGAAGUUAGCUAGAUAGGCAGAUAGCCCACGGGAGCAAGUCGAUUCCUCCGGCCUGCUGUUUGCGCUUUGGGAGUGUAGUACUGUAGAUCAGAAGCAAGCAGCCUGUCGGCCUCGUCCCCAUACCCAAUCCCGCCGGCGGCCCAUGAUGAGCAAGGCAGGCGGCGGCGGCGGCGCGGCGGCGGGCCCGACAGCGGCUGCUGCGGCCGCCGCGGCGCAGAAGCAGAGGGCGCUACUGCAGAAGGCCGACGCCGACGUCGCUAGCCUCGUCGACAACUUCUCCGCCCUCAUCAACAUCGCCCGCGUCAACGACCCGCCCGUGCGCAACACGCAGGAGGCGUUCCAGAUGGAGAUGCGCGCGUCACGUAUGGUACAUUCAGCAGACUCUCUGUUGAAAUUAGUCUCAGAACUUAAGAGGACAGCCAUCUUUUCUGGGCUUGCUUCUUUGAAUGAGAAUGUUGAUAGGAGGAUUGAGGUGCUCAGCCAGCAGGCAGAGGGGACAGAUAAAAUGUUGGAGAAGAUUGGGCAGGAGGCAGCAGCAAGCCUUAAGGAGUUGGAGGCACAUUACUACUCAUCUGUUGUGCGGACUCCGCUCUACGAUUGAGGAAACCACGUUUUGUUCAGGACACCUGUGAAAUCAUGGUCCAUCAAAAAGACCUUUGGCUAAAUCGUGUGAUACCAGGAAAAGGCAAAUCAUACGACGGGAAUUUGUGCUUUUCGGCCUCAAUUGUCUCGUCAAAUGUCAUGUCAAUUCCAGGACAGCUCUGUACUUCUGCGACUGCGAUGGGGACCGAGAAGAGCGAACCGCUGCCUGGGAUAGUGAUCUCGUAUUCUCGUCAUUCAACCACUGGCCUAUCUAUCUAGCAGAGGUUCCUAGCCUACUUCAUGUCCUGACCAGACCUGACCUUGCCAAGUCUUGGCCGUGAAGAAAACAGCCGAAGCUUGU